rnacentral:ncRNA from 1 species
UAUUGAUAAUAGCAAACUUAUUGAAAGAUGAGGACGCAAAGCUAUGAGCCUAAUGGGAAGAUUUCCAAUGGUUGCUAGGUUGCCGUU